rnacentral:tRNA from 1 species
UCCUGAUUAGCUCAAUUGGUAGAGAGCUUCACUGGAAUUAAAGAGGUCCCUAAUUCGAUACCAGGACCAGGCG